AUACGUAGGGGGCGAGCGUUGUCCGGAAUGAUUGGGCGUAAAGGGCGCGUAGGCGGCGCGGUAAGUCUGGAGUGAAAGUCCUGCUUUCAAGGUGGGACUUGCUUUGGAUACUGCCGCGCUUGAGUGCAGGAGAGGUUAUCGGAAUUCCCGGUGUAGCGGUGAAAUGCGUAGAGAUCGGGAGGAACACCAGUGGCGAAGGCGGGUAACUGGACUGCAACUGACGCUGAGGCGCGAAAGUGUGGGGAGCAAACAGGAUUAGAUACCCUGGUAGUCCACGCCGUAAACGAUGAAUAUUAGGUGUAGGGGGUAUCGACUCCCUCUGUGCCGCAGUUAACACAAUAAGUAUUCCGCCUGGGGAGUACGGCCGCAAGGUUGAAACUCAAAUGAAUUGGCGGGG
rnacentral:rRNA from 1 species